rnacentral:rRNA from 1 species
AGUGAACGCUGGCGGUAGGCCUAACACAUGCAAGUCGAACGGCAGCACAGUAAGAGCCUGCUCUUACGGGUGGCGAGUGGCGGACGGGUGAGGAAUACAUCGGAAUCUACUUUUUCGUGGGGGAUAACGUAGGGAAACUUACGCUAAUACCGCAUACGACCUACGGGUGAAAGCAGGGGAUCUUCGGACCUUGCGCGAUUGAAUGAGCCGAUGUCGGAUUAGCUAGUUGGCGGGGUAAAGGCCCACCAAGGCGACGAUCCGUAGCUGGUCUGAGAGGAUGAUCAGCCACACUGGAACUGAGACACGGUCCAGACGCCUACGGGAGGCAGCAGUGGGGAAUAUUGGACAAUAGGCGCAAGCCUGAUCCAGCCAUACCGCGUGGGUGAAGAAGGCCUUCGGGUUGUAAAGCCCUUUUGUUGGGAAAGAAAAGCAGCAGGUUAAUACCCCGCUGUUCUGACGGUACCCAAAGAAUAAGCACCGGCUAACUUCGUG